AGUAGCCACACUCAUGGUGGCUUAAAAAACACACACUUUUAAUUUCAUAAUUUCUGAGGGUCAGCAGUCUGAGCAGCACUUAACCGGUAGAUGCUCUGUCUUGGGGUCUCGUAACACCUCAAAUUGUCAUCCAGGGUUGUAAUCUCAUCUGAGGCUCAGCUGAGGCAUGCUGUAAAUACCUGACUGAUCUUACAGUGAGGAGAAUAUAGGAUGGAAUGGAUAUAAGAGCAAUCCCAUUAAAGACUACCUGUGGCUAUUAGUCACCUUCCAAACAAAAGAUGCUGAGUUCUCUAAAUUGCUUUAUGUGAGAUGUAACACAAAACCACAUGUUCACCACUACAGGAAUAGUGUGGAAAACCAGGUGGUAAUAAGGGUCUGCCAACCAAGACAAGGAACUCCAGAAAACUAUUAUUGAUGAUCACAGCAAAACCUCUGCAGAAAUUUCACAUCUGCUGAAGCCCAUGGCAUUUGCCUAGUACUGCCAAAGGAAAAAAUAAUGUCUUCUGGUCUCCAUUCCACCUUCAAAAUCAUGCUCCAGUGCACCUUGUUGUUAGAACAUAAAUUGUAUUCUAUUCCACAGAGUCAAGAGAAUCUAGAGAAUUUGAUUUCUAAAUUCCCAGCUCCUUCAAAACAGAAGAAACCUUAGAAGGGUUUUGCUGCUUGCAAAAUGAAAUUAAACCUGCACACUUAUUUCUGUUCUCUUAAUAAAGACUUUGAAGAGAUUAAUUCAUGAUACCUGCAAUGUUUCUCAGAUUUCCUUGGACAAUCUCAAAUCAUUCAUACCUGUGCCUCUCCCUCACUUUUCAGUUGCCCUGCUCCCAAACACCUUCAC
rnacentral:lncRNA from 10 species